rnacentral:rRNA from 1 species
GCGGCGGACGGGUGAGUAACACGUGGGCAACCUGCCCUGCAGACUGGGAUAACUUCGGGAAACCGGAGCUAAUACCGGAUAACACCGAAAACCGCAUGGUUUUCGGUUGAAAGGCGGCUUUUAGCUGUCACUGCAGGAUGGGCCCCGCGGCGCAUUAGCUAGUUGGUGAGGUAACGGCUCACCAAGGCGACGAUGCGUAGCCGACCUGAGAGGGUGACCGGCCACACUGGGACUGAGACACGGCCCAGACUCCUACGGGAGGCAGCAGUAGGGAAUCUUCCGCAAUGGACGAAAGUCUGACGGAGCAACGCCGCGUGAGCGAAGAAGGUCUUCGGAUCGUAAAGCUCUGUUGUCAGGGAAGAACAAGUACCGUUCGAACAGGGCGGUACCUUGACGGUACCUGACGAGGAAGCCACGGCUAACUACGUGCCAGCAGCCGCGGUAAUAC